AGGUAUAGUUAGAUUAUGGGAUUAUUAUAGGUAUAGUUAGGGUUAGGGAUUAUUAUUAGAGGUAUAGUUAGAGUUAGGGAUUAUUAUUAGAGAUAUAGUUAGAGUUAGGGAUUAUUAUUAGAGGUACAGUUAGUGUUAGGGAUUAUUAUUAGAGGUAUAGUUAGUGUUAGUGCUUAUUAUGAGAUGUAUAGUUAUGGUUAAGGAUUAUUAUUAGAGGUAUAGUUAGAGUUAGGGAUUAUUAUUAAAUGUAUAAUUAGUGUUAGGGAUUAUUAUUAGAGGUAUAGUUAGUGUUAGGGAUUAUUAUUAGAGGUAUAGUAAGGGUUAGAGAUUAUUAUUAGAGGUAUAGUUAUGGUUAAGGAUUAUUAUUGGAGGUAUAGUUAGAGUUAAGGAUUAUUAUUAAAGGAUCAUUAUUAGAGGUAUAGUUAGUGUUAGGGAUUAUUAUUAGAGGUAUAGUUAUAGUUAAGGAUUAUUAUUAAAGGAUUAUUAUUAGAGGUAUAGUUAUAGUUAAGGAUUAUCAUUAGAGGUAAAGUUAGUAUUAGGGAUUAUUAUUAGAGGUAUAGUUAGGGAUUAUUAUUAGAGGUAUAGUUAUGGUUAAGGAUUAUUAUAAGAGGUAUAGUUAUGGUUAAGGAUUAUUAUUAGAGGUAUAGUUAGUGUUAGGGAUUAUUAUUAGAGGUAUAGUUAGGGUUAGAGAUUAUUAUUAGAGGUAUAGUUAUGGUUAAGGAUUUUUAUUAGAGGUAUAGUUAUGGUUAAUGAUUAUUAUUAAAGGUAUAGUUAGAGUUAGGGAUUAUUAUUAGAGGUAUAGUUAGGGGUUAAGGAUUAUUAUUAGAGGUAUAGUUAGUGUUAGGGAUUAAUAUUAAAGGUAUAGUUAGAGUUAAGGAUUAUUAUUAGAGGUAUAGUGAGUUAGGGAUUAUUAUUAGAGGUAUAGUUAGGGUUAAGGAUUAUUAUUAGAGGUAUAGUUAGUGUUAGGGAUUAUUAUUAGAGGUAUAGUUAGGGUUAGGGAUUAUUUUUAGAGGUAUAGUUAGGGUUAAAGAUUAUUAUUAGUGGGAUAGUUAUGGUUAAGAAUUAUUAUUAGAGUUAUAGUUAGGGUUAGGGAUUAUUAUUAAAGGUAUAGUUAGUGUUAGGGAUUAUUAUUAGAUCUGUAGUUAUGGUUAAGGAUUAUUAUUAGAGGUAUAGUUAGAGUUAGGGAUUAUUUUUAGAGGUAUAGUUAGGGUUAAGGAUUAUUAUUAGUAAAGGUAUAGUUAGGGAUUAUUAUUAGAGGUAUAGUUUGAGUAAAGGAUUAUUAGUAGAGGUAUAGUUUGAGUAAAGGAUUAUUAGUAGAGGUAUAGUUAGGGUUAGGGAUUAUUAUUAGAGGUAUAGUUAGUGUUAGGGAUUUUUAUUAGAUGUAUAGUUAGGGUUAGGGAUUAUUAUUAGAGGUAUAGUUAGAGUUAGGGAUUAUUACUAAAGGUAUUGUUAGAGUUAGGGAUUAUUUUUAGAGGUAUUGUUUUGGUUAGGGAUUAUUAUUAGAGGUAUAGUUAGGGUUAGGGAUUAUUAUUAGAGGUAUAGUUAUGGUUAAGGAUUAUUAUUAGAGGUAUAGUUCGGGUUAGGGAUUAUUAUUAGAGGUAUAGUUAGAGUUAGGGAUUAUUAUUAGAGGUAUAGUUAGAGUUAGGGAUUAUUAUUAGAGGUAUAGUUAGGGUUAGGGAUUAUUAUUAGAGGUAUAGUUAGAUUAAGGGAUUAUUAUAGGUAUAGUUAGGGUUAGGGAUUAUUAUUAGAGGUAUAGUUAGAUUUAGGGAUUAUUAUUAGAGGUACAGUUAGUGUUAGGGAUUAUUAUUAGAGGUGUAGUUAGUGUUAGGGCUUAUUAUGAGAUGUAUAGUUAUGGUUAAGGAUUAUUAUUAGAGGUGUAGUUAGAGUUAGGGAUUAUUAUUAAAUGUAUAGUUAGUGUUAGGGAUUAUUAUUAGAGGUAUAGUUAGUGUUAGGGAUUAUUAUUAGAGGUAUAGUUAGGGUUAGAGAUUAUCAUUAGAGGUAUUGUUAUGGUUAAGGAUUAUUAUUGGAGGUAUAGUUAGAGUUAAGGAUUAUUAUUAAAGGAUCAUUAUUAGAGGUAUAGUUAGUGUUAGGGAUUAUUAUUAGAGGUAUAGUUAUAGUUAAGGAUUAUUAUUAAAGGAUUAUUAUUAGAGGUAUAGUUAUAGUUAAGGAUUAUCAUUAGAGGUAAAGUUAGUAUUAGGGAUUAUUAUUAGAGGUAUAGUUAGGGAUUAUUAUUAGAGGUAUAGUUAUGGUUAAGGAUUAUUAUAAGAGGUAUAGUUAUGGUUAAGGAUUAUUAUUAGAGGUAUAGUUAGUGUUAGGGAUUAUUAUUAGAUAUAUAGUUAGAGUUAAGGAUUAUUAUUAGAGGUGUAGUUAGAGUUAGGGAUUAUUAUUAAAUGUAUAGUUAGUGUUAGGGAUUAUUAUUAGAGGUAUAGUUAGUGUUAGGGAUUAUUAUUAGAGGUAUAGUGAGUUAGGGAUUAUUAUUAGAGGUAUAGUUAGGGUUAAGGAUUAUUAUUAGAGGUAUAGUUAGUGUUAGGGAUUAUUAUUAGAGGUAUAGUUAGGGUUAGGGAUUAUUAUUAGAGGUAUAGUUAGGGUUAGGGAUUAUUAUUAGAUCUAUAGUUAUGGUUAAGGAUUAUUAUUAGAGGUAUAGUUAGAGUUAUGGAUUAUUAUUAAUGGUAUAGUUAGAGUUAGGGAUUAUUUUUAGAGGUAUAGUUAGGGUUAAGGAUUAUUAUUAGAGGGAUAGUUAUGGUUAAGGAUUAUUAUUAGAGGUAUAGUUAGGGUAAGGGAUUAUUAUUAGAGGUAUAGUUAGUGUUAGGGAUUAUUAUUAGAUCUAUAGUUAUGGUUAAGGAUUAUUAUUAGAAGUAUAGUUAUGGUUAAGGAUUAUUAUUAGAGGUAUAGUUCGUGUUAGGGAUUAUUAUUAGAUGUAUAGUUAGGGUUAGGGAUUAUUAUUAGAGGUAUAGUUAGAGUUAGGAAUUAUUAUUAGCGAUAUAGUUAGAGUUAGGGAUUAUUACUAAAGGUAUAGAUAGAGUUAGGGAUGAUUUUUAGAGGUAUUGUUUGGGUUAGGGAUUAUUAUUAGCGGUAUAGUUAGGGCUAGGGAUUAUUAUUAGAGGUAUAGUUAUGGUUAAGGUUUACUAUUAGAGGUAUAGUUCGGGUUAGGGAUUAUUAUUAGAGGUGUAAUUAGAGUUAGGGAUUAUUAUUAGAGGUAUAGUUAGAGUUAGGGAUUAUUAUUAGAGGUAUAGUUAGAGUAAGGGAUUAUUAUUAUAGGUAUAGUUAGGGUUAGGGAUUAUUAUUAGAGGUAUAGUUAGAUUAAGGGAUUAUUAUAGGUAUAGUUAGGGUUAGGGAUUAUUAUUAGAGGUAUAGUUAGAGUUAGGGAUUAUUAUUAGAGAUAUAGUUAGAGUUAGGGAUUAUUAUUAGAGGUAUAGUUAGUGUUAGGGAUUAUUAUUAGAUGUAUAGUUAGGGUUAGGGAUUAUUAUUAGAGGUAUAGUUAGAGUUAGGAAUUAUUAUUAGCGAUAUAGUUAGAGUUAGGGAUUAUUACUAAAGGUAUAGAUAGAGUUAGGGAUGAUUUUUAGAGGUAGUGUUUGGGUUAGGGAUUAUUAUUAGCGGUAUAGUUAGGGCUAGGGAUUAUUAUUAGAGGUAUAGUUAUGGUUAAGGUUUACUAUUAGAGGUAUAGUUCGGGUUAGGGAUUAUUAUUAGAGGUGUAAUUAGAGUUAGGGAUUAUUAUUAGAGGUAUAGUUAGAGUUAGGGAUUAUUAUUAGAGGUAUAGUUAGAGUAAGGGAUUAUUAUUAUAGGUAUAGUUAGGGUUAGGGAUUAUUAUUAGAGGUAUAGUUAGAUUAUGGGAUUAUUAUAGGUAUAGUUAGGGUUAGGGAUUAUUAUUAGAGGUAUAGUUAGAGUUAGGGAUUAUUAUUAGAGGUAUAGUUAGAGUUAAGGAUUAUUAUUAAAGGAUCAUUAUUAGAGGUAUAGUUAGUGUUAGGGAUUAUUAUUAGAGGUAUAGUUAUAGUUAAGGAUUAUUAUUAAAGGAUUAUUAUUAGAGGUAUAGUUAUAGUUAAGGAUUAUCAUUAGAGGUAAAGUUAGUAUUAGGGAUUAUUAUUAGAGGUAUAGUUAGGGAUUAUUAUUAGAGGUAUAGUUAUGGUUAAGGAUUAUUAUAAGAGGUAUAGUUAUGGUUAAGGAUUAUUAUUAGAGGUAUAGUUAGUGUUAGGGAUUAUUAUUAGAGGUAUAGUUAGGGUUAGAGAUUAUUAUUAGAGGUAUAGUUAUGGUUAAGGAUUUUUAUUAGAGGUAUAGUUAUGGUUAAUGAUUAUUAUUAAAGGUAUAGUUAGAGUUAGGGAUUAUUAUUAGAGGUAUAGUUAGGGGUUAAGGAUUAUUAUUAGAGGUAUAGUUAGUGUUAGGGAUUAAUAUUAAAGGUAUAGUUAGAGUUAAGGAUUAUUAUUAGAGGUAUAGUGAGUUAGGGAUUAUUAUUAGAGGUAUAGUUAGGGUUAAGGAUUAUUAUUAGAGGUAUAGUUAGUGUUAGGGAUUAUUAUUAGAGGUAUAGUUAGGGUUAGGGAUUAUUUUUAGAGGUAUAGUUAGGGUUAAAGAUUAUUAUUAGUGGGAUAGUUAUGGUUAAGAAUUAUUAUUAGAGUUAUAGUUAGGGUUAGGGAUUAUUAUUAAAGGUAUAGUUAGUGUUAGGGAUUAUUAUUAGAUCUGUAGUUAUGGUUAAGGAUUAUUAUUAGAGGUAUAGUUAGAGUUAGGGAUUAUUUUUAGAGGUAUAGUUAGGGUUAAGGAUUAUUAUUAGUAAAGGUAUAGUUAGGGAUUAUUAUUAGAGGUAUAGUUUGAGUAAAGGAUUAUUAGUAGAGGUAUAGUUUGAGUAAAGGAUUAUUAGUAGAGGUAUAGUUAGGGUUAGGGAUUAUUAUUAGAGGUAUAGUUAGUGUUAGGGAUUUUUAUUAGAUGUAUAGUUAGGGUUAGGGAUUAUUAUUAGAGGUAUAGUUAGAGUUAGGGAUUAUUACUAAAGGUAUUGUUAGAGUUAGGGAUUAUUUUUAGAGGUAUUGUUUUGGUUAGGGAUUAUUAUUAGAGGUAUAGUUAGGGUUAGGGAUUAUUAUUAGAGGUAUAGUUAUGGUUAAGGAUUAUUAUUAGAGGUAUAGUUCGGGUUAGGGAUUAUUAUUAGAGGUAUAAUUAGAGUUAGGGAUUAUUAUUAGAGGUAUAGUUAGAGUUAGGGAUUAUUAUUAGAGGUAUAGUUAGGGUUAGGGAUUAUUAUUAGAGGUAUAGUUAGAUUAAGGGAUUAUUAUAGGUAUAGUUAGGGUUAGGGAUUAUUAUUAGAGGUAUAGUUAGAUUUAGGGAUUAUUAUUAGAGGUACAGUUAGUGUUAGGGAUUAUUAUUAGAGGUGUAGUUAGUGUUAGGGCUUAUUAUGAGAUGUAUAGUUAUGGUUAAGGAUUAUUAUUAGAGGUGUAGUUAGAGUUAGGGAUUAUUAUUAAAUGUAUAGUUAGUGUUAGGGAUUAUUAUUAGAGGUAUAGUUAGUGUUAGGGAUUAUUAUUAGAGGUAUAGUUAGGGUUAGAGAUUAUCAUUAGAGGUAUUGUUAUGGUUAAGGAUUAUUAUUGGAGGUAUAGUUAGAGUUAAGGAUUAUUAUUAAAGGAUCAUUAUUAGAGGUAUAGUUAGUGUUAGGGAUUAUUAUUAGAGGUAUAGUUAUAGUUAAGGACUAUUAUUAAAGGAUUAUUAUUAGAGGUAUAGUUAUAGUUAAGGAUUAUUAUUAGAGGUAUAGUUAGUGUUAGGGAUUAUUAUUAGAGGUAUAGUUAUAGUUAAGGAUUAUCAUUAGAGGUAAAGUUAGUAUUAGGGAUUAUUAUUAGAGGUAUAGUUAGGGAUUAUUAUUAGAGGUAUAGUUAUGGUUAAGGAUUAUUAUAAGAGGUAUAGUUAUGGUUAAGGAUUAUUAUUAGAGGUAUAGUUAGUGUUAGGGAUUAUUAUUAGAGGUAUAGUUAGGGUUAGAUAUAAUUAUUAGAGGUAUAGUUAGGGUUAAGGAUUAUUAUUAGAGGUAUAGUUAGUGUUAGGGAAUAUUAUUAAAGGUAUAGUUAGAGUUAAAGAUUAUUAUUAGAGGUAUAGUGAGUUAGGGAUUAUUAUUAGAGGUAUAGUUAGGGUUAAAGAUUAUUAUUAGAGGUAUAGUUAGUGUUAGGGAUUAUUAUUAGAGGUAAAGUUAGGGUUAGGGAUUAUUAUUAGAGGUAUAGUUAGUGUUAGGGAUUAUUAUUAGAUCUAUAGUUAUGGUUAAGGAUUAUUAUUAGAGGUAUAGUUAGUGUUAGGGAUUAUUAUUAGAUCUAUAGUUAUGGUUAAGGAUUAUUUUUAGAGGUAUAGUUAGGGUUAAGGAUUAUUAUUAGUAAAGGUAUCAUUAGGGAUUAUUAUUAGAGGUAUAGUUUGAGUAAAGGAUUAUUAGUAGAGGUAUAGUUAGUGUUAUGGAUUAUUAUUAAAGUUAUAGUUAGUGUUAAGGAUUAUUAUUAGAGGUAUAGUGAGUUAGGGAUUAUUAUUAGAGGUAUAGUUAGGAUUAAAGAUUAUUAUUAGAGGUAUAGUUAGGGAUUAUUAUUAGAGGUAUAGUUAUGGUUAAGGAUUAUUAUAAGAGGUAUAGUUAUGGUUAAGGAUUAUUAUUAGAGGUAUAGUUAGUGUUAGGGAUUAUUAUUAGAGGUAAAGUUAGGGUUAGGGAUUAUUAUUAGAGGUAUAGUUAGUGUUAGGGAUUAUUUUUAGAGGUAUAGUUAGGGUUAAGGAUUAUUAUUAGAGGGAUAGUUAUGGUUAAGGAUUAUUAUUAGAGGUAUAGUUAGGGUUAGGGAUUAUUAUUAGAGGUAUAGUUAGUGUUAGGGAUUAAUAUUAGAUCUAUAGUUAUGGUUAAGGAUUAUUAUUAGAGGUAUAGUUAGAGUUAGGAAUUAUUAUUAAUGGUAUAGUUAGAGUUAGGGAUUAUUUUUAGAGGUAUAGUUAGGGUUAAGGAUUAUUAUUAGUAAAGGUAUAGUUAUGGAUUAUUAUUAGAGGUAUAGUUUGAGUAAAGGAUUAUUAGUAGAGGUAAAUUAGGGUUAGGGGUUAUUAUUAGAGGUAUAGUUAGUGUUAGGGAUUAUUAUUAUAUGUAUAGUUAGGGUUAGGGAUUAUUAUUAGAGGUAUAGUUAGAGUUAGGGAUUAUUACUAAAGGUAUAGUUAGAGUUAGGGAUUAUUUUUAGAGGUAUUGUUUGGGUUAGGGAUUAUUAUUAGAGGUAUAGUUAGAUUAAGGGAUUAUUAUUAGAGGUAUAGUUAGAGUUAAGGAUUAUUAUUAGAGGUAUAGUGAGUUAGGGAUUAUUAUUAGAGGUAUAGUUAGGGUUAAGGAUUAUUAUUAGAGGUAUAGUUAGUGUUAGGGAUUAUUAUUAGAGGUAUAGUUAGGGUUAGGGAUUAUUAUUAGAGGUAUAGUUAUACUUAGGGAUUAUUAUUAAAUCUAUAGUUAGAGUUAGGGAUUAUUUUUAGAGGUAUAGUUAGGGUUAAGGAUUAUUAUUAGAGGGAUAGUUAUGGUUAAGGAUUAUUAUUAGAGUUAUAGUUAGGGUUAGGGAUUAUUAUUAGAGUUAUAGUUAGUGUUAGGGAUUAUUAUUAGAUCUAUAGUUAUGGUUAAGGAUUAUUAUUAGAGGUAUAGUUAUGGUUAAGGAGUAUUAUUAGAGGUAUAGUUAGAGUUAGGGAUUAUUAUUAGAGGUAUAGUUAGUGUUAAGGAUUAUUAUUAGAUCUAUAGUUAUGGUUAAGGAUUAUUAUUAGAGGUAUAGUUAGUGUUAGGGAUUAUUAUUAGAUCUAUAGUUAUGGUUAAGGAUUAUUUUUAGAGGUAUAGUUAGGGUUAAGGAUUAUUAUUAGUAAAGGUAUAGUUAGGGAUUAUUAUUAGAGGUAUAGUUUGAGUAAAGGAUUAUUAGUAGAGGUAUAGUUAGGGUUAGGGAUUAUUAUUAGAGGUAUAGUUAGUGUUAGGGAUUAUUAUUAGAUGUAUAGUUAGGGUUAGGGAU